rnacentral:lncRNA from 1 species
UUUGCCUCUUGUUAAUUUGGGUUGUCUUCUUAGUAUGUGGUUGCAGGAGUUAUUUUUGGUGAUGGUCAGUCUGGUCAACCACAAGGGAGACACAGAGGAGGCAAAGGAAAAAACAAGUUUCUUAUACUCAAGGUCCUAGAGGGACAGAGUCACUGCAUGCUGACAGGGAGUGAUGUGGAAAAGAGCACCAAGGAAAAAGGCUCAGCCAAGCAAGUGGGGAGCAGAGAGCGGGCAAACACCAGAAGCCAUAGGUUAAGACAUGAGGACUUCUACUGAAACUUCUCUAAAUAUGGAACCAAGACUUCAUCUGAGUUUGAGAUUAAGAGAAGAAAUUAUCACAGCUCCAUGAGGAAGAAAAAAUAAUCUGUGACUUCUGUACCUUCUUCAUGACCACCGGGCAAGACUGACUCUCUGACCAGUGCAC